UCCUACACACAUUUUAAAAUUAUCUUCAUCAUGUAAUCGCGAGCGACCGACUGAUGAGCUAGCUACAUACGAUGUACCAAUCGUAUGAUGAGUCAAAGGGAAGUAAAGAUACGUAGCGUUAAAUACAGAUUAGACACGUUGACAUAUAAAGGUCAAGAAAACUACGCAUUUACGACGAUCAUGCUGCUGCACCAGAAGUUGACGAAUACUUAGAAAAAGAUUACGUUCGAGAAACGUUCUUCUCUCGUGAGAUCCUUUUCUUCUCGUUUAACAAAGAGGACCUUGAGACCUCUCUCGCAGAGUGAGGAGACAGAAAGAGAGAAUGCACUGUAAGCCCUGGGGGAACGUCUACCCAGCGUUAACACUUGGAGUUUGGAUCAAUGUAAAUAUAUGCCGAGAGUAAUCAAAUUGUUAUUUCUCCGCACCGAGCGCGUGACAAAACAAACGAGCGACACAAACGGAAAGGAAAUUAUGAAUUGUACCAGGGUGAGUCAUCGUUCCGAAAGCCGAUACCGACGCCCAUAGUUUCCGGCUAUUCCAACUGACCAGCGAGUGAGUAUCACAUCCAUUGUUCCACAUCUGUACUUUAAUUUUGCGCCAGACAUCGGCCAUUAUCGCAUCUUGCGCUCAUCACCUUCAGUUACACUUCAAAUGAAUUAUACGCUUACGCGAAAAAUACAACAAUCGUAUUCUCCAAAUAAUUUGAAUUAGUGAAAUCUAAAAUACUAUAGUUUUAUGCGAUCUUGUUAUAUGUACUAUUUAUUUACUUUUUCUGUCUCUCUUUGAAAUACGAAUGGAGUGAAAACUUUCUUUUUCGUAAUAUUUAUUUUAAGGACAGAAGAAAGAAAAAGAUUGCAGAGGAAGAUGCAGAGAAACGCAGUUGAAAGGAAUUUAUUAUUGUAAAGAAGCGGUAUCCGACGCGCUUGUUCCAAAGAAAAUCAUGAUUCACGAUUAACUCACACGUUCAUCAGAUCUAUCAACUUUUCGUGCCGCUCGUUAGGUCUACGGUAUAAACGAUAAGCUCCUUAUCUUCUAACAGGUUGAAGCUUCUUUGAGAUAAGGAAAUAAUUUCAAACAGAGCAGUAUUGAAGCAAUGGACGGUCGAUUAAAGUAACGAGCUCUAAUGAUGACCCGAUAAUAUCCGAAAUACCAAUAAAUCGAUAAUUUUCCAAGCAUCAAGGAAACUUUUAUUCAACAACCGGUUACGCUGCAUCGUAGAACGCAGUUAUUGUGACAAUUUAGGUGGGUAAUUAAUUAUAUGAUUACACAAAAUUACAUUUGUAUGAUACAUGCCGGUCUAUUUGAGACAGCGCGUUAUGAAACACCUAGAAAUAAGUAUCACAUUGAUGUAUAAUUAAUAGUGCGUCAUAUGGGCAGCACAAUGGGGCUCGCGAACGCCUCACCGACAGUUCGCGCACAUUGCCAUUAAUUAUUAUCACGUCAAAAACACCUGUUUGCUUUCAAAACAGACGUUCGCUUUCGCGCUUCGCCGAAGAAGUUUGCGACGUCUACGCUUUUCGUGUGCGUGUACGAAUUCACGGAGUUAGCUUGACAGAAUAAAAAUAAGAAUUGCAGAUUCUUUGGGUAAUGUACGUCUUGUGAUAGCGUAUUGUACGGUUAAAAUAAAUAUUAAAUAUACGAUUGCAGUAUUUCUUUUUCUUUUUCUUUUUUUUUCAGAACGGUGCACAAUCGUCUUUGCGGAAUCAGCGUGGAAAUUACGAAUCCGCUGUUUGCCCGUUAGCGACAUAGGUCAAAAACCUACCUCGUCGCCGUGGUAACGGUUGUCCCUUCAUCCGGCUCUUCCGUUUCUCGACUCACUGCUCCCGUUUACUUGUAGAUAGUCUAUUAUUUAAAAUCACAGCAUGUUAUUUCUUUUUUUUUUUUUUUUAACAAGAAUCUUUAACAAGAGAAACGGCUAGGGAUCCAUGAUCUAUUUCCCAAUCAUUCAUCUGUAUUCCGCCCACGACGUGGGUUCACUAUUCCUUUUCAUUAGCACGUGACUCAUUAUUCGUGCACUCACUCGCGCACAUAAGUACACACAUUAUUUGCAAGUUUUCCCGUUUGUGUCUUAUGCGAAUUCCGCGUAUUAGCGCAAAUGAAUCAUGGAAAGUGCGAUAAAAUUAGAAACUUUUUAUGAAUUUUAUAAAAACGAAUCUCUUUUUCUAAAAUAGAAUGCGCAUGAUAUUUAAUGUCAGUUAUUAUUUUUAUGUAAUGUACAUUCGCCGUUUUUUUUUUUUUUUUUAAUAUGAAUUUUAAUUUCAGCGGAAAAGGGAGUUUUCACGAGAAACAAGAGCCCAGUACGCGCUAGCCGAGAGCAUUCAUGAGUUAAAGAGACACUUUGCGCGCGCGGCAACAAGCGGAGAAAGACGCGCGCGCGUGCUCCAGCGCGCGCACACAUAAGCACAGCAUGAGCGGACCGUUGAUUUCACAGUUUGUGAGCGCAAGCCGUCUCCUUUCUCCUCGUGGAGCGCGACAUCGUCGAAGUAUAUUUUUAGGAUGCUCGAGCCUCGGGACGCUAAAUUGCGUUUUACGCUGGGGCCCGGGUCUGAUUUUCACGUAGAACUGCCGAAGUUUGCGUCCGUGAAGAUAAAAAAAAAACGACGUGAAAAACGAUAAGAUAAAAGAGCAGCUGAGCGACGGCGUCGUCAUCCACUCGACGGCACAGCUCGUGCCUAUGCACUGACGCGACUCCACUCUUCGUAGCCUCCGUCACCUAUUCUCGGCGGUGGGAAGGAAUCGGAGAAGGGGAGCAGGCCAACGCCAUCGUGGGCACCAAUUGCAACGGUUACCAAUGCAACUGCACGUGGAAUGUGUUAUUCGCUUUGUAGACAAACUGUUUACAAAGUCGUACAAUGUAGAAAACAAAAAUUUACUAAUUAUUAAAAUAGACAUAGAAGGUCCCAUUCAGUCUUGGAUGUAGUCUUGGAACCCCAAAUUGAGAAUUAUACAAAACAAUUAGAUUUCUUUUUGACGACAGCCUUCGUUAGUUAAAGUGCCUUCGAAAGUUUUGAUGCAUUAGUUCACGUGAUCAAAUCCAGUGUCGCGAAUUACCUCAACUUUAAUUAAAGGAAAAAGAAAUAGCAACCGUCACGCGAAAUAUAUGGAAAUUCAAUAGAACAAGGAGAGUGGACAAGGAGAGAUAUUGUUCUACGAAGAAUAUUUUAAUGAAACCUUUAUUAAGAUUUUUAUCAUGCCAAAGACAAAUGACGACUUUGGCUAUACAAACAGGUAAACGUUUCCCCGGCGAGAGUCCUCCAUGCAGGUGCAAACUGCACAACGUAUCGCUACAGAACUUUAAAAAAUACAACGAAAUUGAUAUCAGAACAGAAUAUAAAGAAAAUACUAAUUUAUAUAUACGCUUAAGUUAAAUAAUAUUUUACUUAUAAAAAUAUAAGUUCUAUUCUUUAAAUGGCAAUUUAUUUUGUGCACGAUUACACGAGCACCACUGUCACUUUGCUUACGAUGUUCCGUUAGUUGAUUUUACUAAAUUAACUUGUUUAAAAAAAUUUUGUAAUACUUGAACGAAGCAUCAUCAGUUGCACCUGCACUGUCGAGCGACUUGCGCGGGUAUAUCUACUAUCUUAAAUCACAAUGGUGACGACAAGUUUAACUAUUUAUUCGUUAAUUAGUUCCUUAAGAUUGAUCGUUACAGAUAAGCAGAUACGCACGCAUGCACGCACACACGUUCCAGCAGUCGUAUACGUAAAAACGCGUGAUGAAACGAUUCGAUGAUUGCCGAUGGUCCCUUGGGAAGAUUUAAUGAUGCGAUACAAUGUUGCAUCACAGACUUAAAAACUAUUAGCAAUUCGCAAAAUAGUUGAUGAAUAUGGAGCACGUAACAGAUAAGUUUCCAUUAACUUUAACGAUAAAAAUUACAUCUGCUACAAUAGUUGAAAAAGAGAAAUCAAAAAGAUUAGACUGAAAUAAGAAUAAAUGGAGAGAAAAUUAACAUAAUUUUAGAAAAACAAAAAAUUAAAGACAUUUACUGGAAAGCUGUACUUUUGGGAACAACACGCGACGAUUUCCAAGAUCAUCGGCAUUCACUAUCGUGAAUCACACGAGGAAAUUAUAUUCCCGCGGAGCGACUCGCUUUUUAUAUAUUAUAUAAUUCCCCUUACCGUCAUAAGAUUAAUUUACCGCGAUCGAUUCGAGUCGCGCAAACCCGUAAAGAGUACCUACGUUUUCGGCGUGGCGCCAAAUGCUUAGGCCAUAAAAUCGUAAAAAAAUAUUCAAGCGCGAGUUCGUAGGCGAACAUUUGGUGUGAAGUGCCUCUGAUUUUCUUGCCUUCUUUUUUUUCCGAGGGUUCGAGGCAAAAAUUGGAACGCGCGUUUACUUUCGUAUACUUUGCAGAAAAGAGUGAGAUCGCUCGCGGUCUAUCAAAUUGGAAUCGCGAGUGCGUGCGUUGCGUAGCGGCUGCGCAGUUAUUAUUUUUUUUUUUUUCGUGUUUAUAAAGAGGAACGAUCGACGGAAUAUCUACUAUUAUGUUGGAACACAGAGAGACAAUCGUUAAACAAUGCGACCAGCCCUCAACCGAUAACGCAAUUUUGCGCAAAAUUUUUAUGACGGAAAUCAACAGGCGUGUAACAUCGUUUCUACAUUUAUACAUAC